rnacentral:rRNA from 1 species
UACGUAGGGACCAAGCGUUGUUCGGAUUUACUGGGCGUAAAGGGCGCGUAGGCGGCUUGACAAGUCACUUGUGAAAUCUCCGGGCUUAACUCAGAACGGCCAAGUGAAACUGUCAUGCUAGAGUGCAGAAGGGGCAAUCGGAAUUCUUGGUGUAGCGGUGAAAUGCGCAGAUAUCAGGAGGAACACCAGCGGCGAAGGCGGCGCUCGUGGGCCGGUACUGACACUGAGGAGCGAAAGCGUGGGGAGCGAACGG